rnacentral:rRNA from 1 species
GCUAACGUCCGUCGUGAAGAGGGAAACAACCCAGACCGCCAGCUAAGGUCCCAAAGUCAUGGUUAAGUGGGAAACGAUGUGGGAAGGCACAGACAGCCAGGAUGUUGGCUUAGAAGCAGCCAUCAUUUAAAGAAAGCGUAAUAGCUCACUGGUCGAGUCGGCCUGCGCGGAAGAUGUAACGGGGCUAAACCAUGCACCGAAGCUGCGGCAGCGACGACUAUGUGUUGUUGGGUAGGGGAGCGUUCUGUAAGCCUGCGAAGGUGACCUGUGAGGGUUGCUGGAGGUAUCAGAAGUGCGAAUGCUGACAUAAGUAACGAUAAAGCGGGUGAAAAGCCCGCUCGCCGGAAGACCAAGGGUUCCUGUCCAACGUUAAUCGGGGCAGGGUGAGUCGACCCCUAAGGCGAGGCCGAAAGGCGUAGUCGAUGGGAAACAGGUUAAUAUUCCUGUACUUGGUGUUACUGCGAAGGGGGGACGGAGAAGGCUAUGUUAGCCGGGCGACGGUUGUCCCGGUUUAAGCAUGUAGGCUG